AAGGAGAAGGGCAGCCCCGGCCCGGCACCACAGAUCGAGGCCUGUGGGACAGAGCUGCGACUGACAAAGGACUCAGAAUCAGCUCUUGUCAUGAAGCAAAGCACAAAUCUGAACUUAGAUGUGUCUGGGACAGAAUAACACUUUGUCUUGGGUGAGAUUUCAGCAUGCCAGUUGCUCCACUGCAGGCAGAAAACUGCAUAUACCUGUCUGAAUCCAGCAGCUCCAAGCAUGGCCUCUGCCAUUCUGCAAAGACAGAGAAAAUAAGAGGGAACUUGGGCCAUCAGUGAGGAAAGCCAGAAUUACAAGCCUGGAAAAUGAAGAUCACCGGUGCAUGAUGCUUGACUUGAUCUCAGGCUGGUAGACGUUAGCCUGCACAAAACGCCUCCCAAGUUCAGGAAUUCAGAUCUGGAUUUGCUGGGCAGCCCGACUGCUUUCAUGACCAAGAAAAAGAAAGAGAGAUGUAAAAAUCCAUCCAUAAAAAGCCAGCCACGAAAACCGAAACUCAUGAUGGAUCCUGCUGAGACUCGUGUUUAACAGUUCCUUCCUGGAGUGGCUCAAGCAACAACAAGAAA